GCCCACACAGCACGUCUAGUAAUGCGCGUUGGACGAAAGGUGACAAUUUAACUCACAUUUUUGUACUGCGUCUUUUAUCUCUGAACUAAAGUAGCUUUCUUCCGUUUUUCAUGUCAUUUCCUGGAAUAAAAAUAUGGUCAAAGCCGAGAGAUUCGGCUGGCUCAUUAUAAUUACUUCUAAUAGGAACAACUUUGCAUUUCCGUGGACGAGUGAAAUCAAAGAGUGGCGGUGCGUCAACAACAUGGAUCACGGAGUCUUGGGUCGGUAGAUAAAGUACUCAACGCAGACCCUCUGGAGCCCUGCAGAUUCUAUAGGUGGGGAGUCGUAUUACUAGCCAAUGAAAAUGGCCCCCGAAAGCGUUAGGCAAAUUGCCAAUUGCCUGCAAACGAGAAUCUAGGAAAUAUCUGGAAAUAGCGCAGUGCACGACAUAUCUGGAAUCUAUCACAUAGUAUGACUAUGCUGCUGUGCUUUUCCUUGUUGUGUAGGAACAGCAAACUUCGCCGAAAAAUAUUAAUGAUGUGGGACUGAACUUGCAAACAGUAGGCCCACUCCCCUCCUGUCCACAGUGGCAGCAUCAUCUGCCUAUCAAUCCAAGCCUUCCUCAGAAGCCGGGCCCAACAGCAGCCCCAGCCUAAUCAAAGAUGAGUGUGAGGAACCAAGCAAUAAACCCAAGGUUGAUCACGGGCACGGUGCCAGUGAGAGUCACCAAAAAGUAGACUUCUGUCUGUGAGGAGUGCAAGGAGUAUUUCUUGGAGUAAUGCCCCACCCAUGGUCCUUCAGUCUUUGUGCCAGACACAUCAGUGGCACUUGGGGUGCCCAACCGGGCUGCCCUCACGGUGCCCUCUGGAAUAGAGAUCGUCCG